rnacentral:rRNA from 1 species
UACGUAGGGGGCAAGCGUUGUCCGGAAUCAUUGGGCGUAAAGCGCGUGUAGGCGGCCCGAUAAGUCCGCUGUGAAAGUCCAGGGCUCAACCCUGGGAUGCCGGUGGAUACUGUCGGGCUCGAGUCCGGAAGAGGAGUGUGGAAUUCCUGGUGUAGCGGUGAAAUGCGUAGAUAUCAAGAGGAACACCGGUGGCGAAGGCGGCUCUCUGGUCCAAAUCUGACGCUGAGGUGCGAAAGCUAGGGGAGCAAACGGG